UGAGUUUAAUAAUCCCUUCUAAUGAAUAGAAUGUGGUAGAAGUGACGUGUGACUUCCGAGGCUAGAUCAUAAAAGGCUUCUUUGUCACUCACUCCGGGAGAAACUAACCACCAUGAUGUGAGGACAGUCUUUAUACACCAUGUGGAGAGGAGCGUGCCGGCCAUGUGUAUCUUGGAAAUGGGUCUUCCAGCUUCAGUCAAGCCUUUAGAUGGCAGCCGCAGCUGACGUCUGUCUGACUGACUGCAACCACAUGGGAGACCCUGAGCCAGAAUCACCAAGCUAAAUUGUACAUGAGUUUCCAGCUUACAGAAACGAAGGAAAACUCAAACUCAGGGGCUCAAGGACAUGUCAAAGGCACAGACAUAUGUUCCUGCAUUGAUCAAAUCAGGCUGUGCAGGUGGUUCGCUGCUCUGUGCAGGACCAGCACAGCACUCGUAUCUAGUGGGUGUCUGAUAAAUACAUGCUGCUCGCCAGAAGGAACAUCAAGAGUAGAAGCCCAUUGCUCUCUGGUGACUUUUGUUUUCUUUCAGAAUGCAUAAACAGGGGGCCUGCUCUCCACGUGUAAACUGAUCUGGUGCAAUUCAGAUAGAAUAUAUUCUAGGACUGGUGCCUUCUUCAACUCAUGCAAAUAAAAGUGCAGCAUGGUCCAAAGUACUGGAGUCAUGAGAAGGUUAUCAUCUUGGAAAGAACACAGUGGUGGCACUAUCUCUGCAAGCAAAGGUCAAGAAAUUUGUCUCUAGAUGUCACAAGAAAAUCAGAAUAAGUGCAUAUUGCUGUAUUCCAAACUGUGACCCCAGGAAGUCAACAGACAGCCCAACUGCUGCCACUGCCCACAGGAGGCAGUUGGUACAGAGAUGACACUGAAGGGGACAAGACUACGAGCUACAUUACCAACAAAGUCUUGACUCACAAAAUGAUAUUUGCUUCUGGUCGCCAAUUGGACUUCUGGCUCUCCUCAACCAGCUUGUUAAUGGGAGUUUUUGUCAAAAAGAGCACUGAGUAGGGGAGUGAAUGAUGUGUGAAGCUAGAAAUUGUAAAGAAAAAGCAAUACAGUUCAGUAGGGAGAGUGCAGAUUUAGACUAGCAUCUGGGUCUGAGAUCCCACUUCUGUGCGACAGCCAGGAGCAAGUUCCUUUCUCUCUCUGAGCCCGUGUGUUCUCAUCUAUAGACUGGGGAUAGUACUACCUUGUGGGGGGUUAUGCAUUUACAAUGCUUAAUACUUGGAAGGCAUGCAAUAAGUGCUAACUAUUAUUACUAUUAUUAAUCUGUUGGAAACGAAAAAUUCAAAGCAUUUCUCUAUUACUUAUUGUGGAAUAGUACUGACGUCUUUUCAUAAUUUAAGUCCAUAUUUCAGAGUAAAAAAGACAUGAUGAUUGAUAUUUACUGGUUUGACUUAUAAAGUAAGAGUGACUUUUUACGUUAACUGACACACAUUUGAUUAGAAGCUUGGUCCUUCAACUUUAAAAAAUAAAGUAAUAAUAUUGAAACCGUAGAAGUAAAUCCUAGCAGCUGCUUGAGGAAUAAUUUCAAAUUGUGCAAGAUCACAAAUGAGAAGGCUAGCUAUCACUUGGAUGACUGUGUGUCAGAUUCUGCUCCUGAGACCUUUAUAUCCGGUAACUCACUCAAAUGAAGUAUGAGCAUAAUUAAUUUAAUAAGCCACUGUUGGGGAACUCUAGUAAACAUAUUUGAUGAGUUGAAAGGCGUGGUCUGAGUUCUGUGUUUGUUCAACCUGGGAGUUUGUUACUAGAUCUGGGGUUGUCAAAUUUAUUCUGUAAAUGAACAGAUGGCAAAUAUUUUGGGCUGAGUGGGUCCUAUAGUCUGUUUAACUACUUAACUUUGCUAUUGAAGUGCAAAAGCUACUUUACAUAAA
ensembl:lncRNA